AUUGAACGCUGGCGGCAGGCCUAACACAUGCAAGUCGAGCGAGCGGCGGACGGGUGAGUAAUGUCUGGGAAACUGCCUGAUGGAGGGGGAUAACUACUGGAAACGGUAGCUAAUACCGCAUACCAUCAGAUGUGCCGAGCUGGGAUUAGCUAGUAGGUGAGGUAACGGCUCACCUAGGCGACGAUCCCUAGCUGGUCUGGGAGGAUGACCAGCAACACGGGAACUGAGACAAGGGCCAGACGCCUACGGUAGGCAUGAGUGGGGAAUAUUGCACAAUGGGCGCAAGCCUGAUGCAGCCAUGCCGCGUGUAUGAAGAAGGCCUUCGGGUUGUAAAGUACUUUCAGCGGGGAGGCGUUACCCGCAGAAGAAGCACCGGCUAACUCCGUGCCAGCCGCCGCGGUAAUUC
rnacentral:rRNA from 1 species